UACGUAGGGACCGAGCGUUGUCCGGAAUUACUGGGCGUAAAGAGCUCGUAGGUGGUUUGUCGCGUUGUUCGUGAAAACUCACAGCUUAACUGUGGGCGUGCGGGCGAUACGGGCAGACUGGAGUACUGCAGGGGAGACUGGAAUUCCUGGUGUAGCGGUGGAAUGCGCAGAUAUCAGGAGGAACACCGGUGGCGAAGGCGGGGUCUCUGGGCAGUAACUGACGCUGGAGGAGCGAAAGCGUGGGGAGCGAACAGG
rnacentral:rRNA from 1 species